GAUGAAGAACGUAGCGAAAUGCGAUAAGUAAUGUGAAUUGCAGAAUUCAGUGAAUCAUCGAAUCUUUGAACGCACAUUGCGCCCCCUGGUAUUCCGGGGGGCAUGCCUGUUCGAGCGUCAUUUCACCACUCAAGCCUCGCUUGGUAUUGGGCAACGCGGUCCGCCGCGUGCCUCAAAUCGACCGGCUGGGUCUUCUGUCCCCUAAGCGUUGUGGAAACUUUCGCUAAAGGGUGUUCGGGAGGCUACGCCGUAAAACAACCCCCUUUCUAAGGUUGACCUCGGAUCAGGUAGGGAUACCCGCUGAACUUAAGCAUAUCAAUAAGCGGAGGA
rnacentral:misc_RNA from 1 species